AUUGAACGCUGGCGGCAGGCCUAACACAUGCAAGUCGAGCGGAUGAGUGGAGCUUGCUCCAUGAUUCAGCGGCGGACGGGUGAGUAAUGCCUAGGAAUCUGCCUGGUAGUGGGGGACAACGUUUCGAAAGGAACGCUAAUACCGCAUACGUCCUACGGGAGAAAGUGGGGGAUCUUCGGACCUCACGCUAUCAGAUGAGCCUAGGUCGGAUUAGCUAGUUGGUGAGGUAAAGGCUCACCAAGGCGGCGAUCCGUAACUGGUCUGAGAGGAUGAUCAGUCACACUGGAACUGAGACACGGUCCAGACUCCUACGGGAGGCAGCAGUGGGGAAUAUUGGACAAUGGGCGAAAGCCUGAUCCAGCCAUGCCGCGUGUGUGAAGAGGGUCUUCGGAUUGUAAAGCACUUUAAGUUGGGAGGAAGGGCAGUAAGUUAAUACCUUGCUGUUUUGACGUUACCAACAGAAUAAGCACCGGCUAACUUCGUGCCAGCAGCCGCCGUAACAC
rnacentral:rRNA from 1 species